AAACCAGGGGGGGAAAAAAAAAAAAAAAAAAAAAAAAAAAACCUCACUGAGAAUGAUCACCCGCUCUUAGUGUCUUCGGGUUGUUUCGGCUUUCUCUGACGACCAUCUUUCCGCGUCGGAACCCUAAUUCGAUCCGACGAAACUUCUAGCCUCCGUAGAUGACUGUAACAUUGGGGGAUAGUUGAGAUUGUACUGGCUGGAUUUCCUCGCCGGAUGGAGGGAGGUAGCGUCUCUAGACUUACUUGUUCUGG